rnacentral:rRNA from 1 species
UACAGAGGUCUCAAGCGUUGUUCGGAUUCAUUGGGGCGUAAAAGGGCGCGUAGGCGGCAAGGCAAGUCGGGUGUGAAAGCUUGGGGCUUCGAACCCCGAAAGGGACCACUGGAACUGCGUUGCUAGAGGGCCGGAGAGGGAGAUCGGAAUUCACGGUGGUAGCAGUGAAAUGCGUAGAGCUCGUGAGGAAGACCGGUGGCGAAGGCGGAUCUCUGGACGGCCCCUGACGCUGAGGCGCGAAGGCUAGGGGAGCAAACGGG